rnacentral:rRNA from 1 species
GAUGAACGCUAGCGGCAGGCUUAACACAUGCAAGUCGAGGGGUAUAGUUCUUCGGAACUAGAGACCGGCGCACGGGUGCGUAACGCGUAUGCAAUCUACCUUUUGCAGAGGGAUAGCCCCAGAGAAAUUUGGAUUAAUACCUCAUAGUAUAGCAGUUUCGCAUGAAACCACUAUUAAAGUCACAACGGCAAAAGAUGAGCAUGCGUCCCAUUAGCUAGUUGGUAAGGUAACGGCUUACCAAGGCUACGAUGGGUAGGGGUCCUGAGAGGGAGAUCCCCCACACUGGUACUGAGACACGGACCAGACUCCUACGGGAGGCAGCAGUGAGGAAUAUUGGACAAUGGGCGCAAGCCUGAUCCAGCCAUGCCGCGUGCAGGAUGACGGUCCUAUGGAUUGUAAACUGCUUUGUACAGGAAGAAACACUCCCUCGUGAGGGAGCUUGACGGUACUGUAAGAAU